rnacentral:lncRNA from 1 species
AUAGUAUCUCUAAAUUCCUCCGCACUUCGUCUAGAAAAUUGUUCCCCCAAUUUUUCCCACCUUGUUAACACCAAAUUAAAGUUCCCCCCAACUACCCAUUUCCCACACCAAGUAUUCUUACAAGCCUCCAACUCCCUCCAUAAACCCCCCAUCUCAACUCUAGAACCCCUACAGUACACCCCUGUAAACACCCAAUGGAGUCCGCCCCCAAUAUCACAUCCCUACACCUCAAAUGGUCCUCUCUCCACGUUACUAAGAUGCCCCCCGCAGUCUCAAUCGCCGAGGAUCUCUCCCAUUCGACCAAGUCCACCUCCCCCCAUCAAUGGAAGAUCCACCAAUCUCAAAGAUUCAAUAGUAUCUCUAAAUUCCUCCGCACUUCGUCUAGAAAAUUGUUCCCCCAAUUUUUCCCACCUUGUUAACACCAAAUUAAAGUUCCCCCCAACUACCCAUUUCCCACACCAAGUAUUCUUACAAGCCUCCAACUCCCUCCAUAAACCCCCCAUCUCAACUCUAGAACCCCUACAGUACACCCCUGUAAACACCCAAUGGAGUCCGCCCCCAAUAUCACAUCCCUACACCUCACAUGGUCCUCUCUCCACGUUACUAAAAUGCCCCCCGCAGUCUCAAUUGCCGAAAUAAAUUUCUAACCGACCUCCUUUACCUUCCACAAGCUAGAAUAACCACAUUGUUGAUUUCUUCCAUUUUUGCUUCUUGAAGGCAACACACCUCCGAUUCCCACCGCCCCAAACAACCUCUAAUAAACAUUCUCUUUUUUUUUUUUUUU